ACGCACACACACGCACACGCCUACUUACUUAUUUGGUCCUACGCCUUCACGUACCACCUGUCCCGCACAUACUCUCACCCCUCCAUCCUACUACUCACCUCAUAAGAAAUUAGCCAUAGCACGGCUGUGUUGGUACGUCGAUCGCUUCUCCGUGCACGUGCGUAGGUUUGUGUGCCUGUUUACCAGCUUCAAGCACCUGUUACUGCGGGGCAUCGCAACAGAGACACAGAGAGAAACCAGACAAGCAUACGGAGCAGCUGUCUAUAUAAGUUAAUACAUACUUUGCGCAACACUCAGGCGCAUGAACGUAAUGCUUGGUUGUGGUGGUGGUGGUGGUUAAGCCGAUACGUCCAGCCCGCGCUCUCUCUCUCCAGCGAAACGGACGACGCGAUACGAGCCGCCUUUUUGUUAUCGUUGGAUGGUUACUCCUCGCCAUAGACUUCACCCUUGUCGCUGAGCCUUCCCCUUCCUUUCUCCAUCCUCCAUCUCCCUCCGCUUCGUUUUAUUGUUGUUGUUUUGUUUUCUUAGUACAUCUGUGUAUGCGUCUCUUUCAAGCAAGUAGUCUCCGCGCGAUAAUUUCUACAUAAGCAGUCUCCCUCUCCCUCACCAUCUCCAACCUCUCCCCACGCACAGGCACACGACUCUGGGUCUACUGCUGGCAUCUGCUGCUGCUGUGUCACGACGUCCCGGGCUGUCUCGCUCGCUUCGCUGGGCUCGGGCGCACGGUACAGGCAAGGGGUUGCUCGCCUCGUUGAGAGAGACGUGCGCCCUUAUGGUGCUCUAGCGGAAGAAGAAACUCGUGAAAGCCGGCGGAGAGUUCUGUGACUGCCUGCGCAGUCAUUCUGUAGAGCGUCGUGGCGAAAAAGCGUUGAGCGGCACACCGUCUGUAGCGAGUCCGCUCUCCCUCUGCCUACGCUUUCCCGGCUCAUCGAUCCCCCUCCCCACUCGAGAUGCAUCUCUCUGCCACAGCCGCCGCCCUCCUCUGUGUCGCCAGCGCUGCCGCCUUAGGCUUCGGCAUCAUUUUCGCUUUGUUUGCGUUGAUGUACUUCGGCUGCCUCAGGAUCCCGAACGGUGGUGUGGCCAAUGGCAACCGCCGCUGGCGGCGCGAGCGCAAUUCCCCCGAGCAGCUGGGCUCGUCCUCCAGUGGCGAGGCGGCCGCGGUAGAGCGUCAGUGGAAGGGCAUUCCGCUGAACUCGCGGCCGCCGCGCCUGACGCCGGAGCAGGAGAUCCUGCGCGAAAAGGCGAUGGAGAAGUACAAGCGUCGUCAGGCCCGCCAGGAGCGCCGCAGUCAGCGCCAAGCUGCCCGCGAGGCACGCAUGGCAAAUGUGCGCGAGGGCGCCAGAGAAGGCGCGGUGAGCGAGGACGAGUUUGCCGGCGACUCCUCUGACACCAGUCGAACAACGCUAACGUCUGGAGCGACGACGGUGCGGACGACGUCGACUGUCGCGUACGGGCGCAGCUCCUAUCUCCGACCCCCCUCAGGUGAUUUCAUGGUGCAUGUAGGCGAGCAUGUUGAUAACGAUGACCGGUGCAGCUCGCGCAGCGGUGGCUCGCGAAGCAGCCGUGGCUCUGCGCGCAGUCGCGCCAGCCAAGGCACAGUUGCUACCAUCAAGUCGUACUUGCGUCACCGCCAGCGCCAGCGCCUGCGUCGCCGCGAGGAGCAGCAGCAGCUGGAGCUGUUUAACCAGUGGGCGUAUGCGCAGAUGGUAUCCUCCUCGGAGCUGUCGUCUUCCUCAAAGUCCGUCUCUACGUCGUCACAGCAUGACGGGGAGGGAAGCGCGACUGGUGGAGGCGCUCGUCGCCGCACCCGAACGGCCUGUGGCAGUCGCAGUCGCAAUCAUGUGCAUCCGGGCCGCUCGGCCAGCGUGGCCAGCUCAGCACCUCGUCCGCUGGAGGACGUGCUCGGUACCGACUGCGAGUCGUACCCGUUCCUUAUGAACGUCGAGCGCAGCAAUCUGGAAGGUUUCAGAGUUGACACUCAGCGCCCAUCCCCGCACCCGACUGCGCUCUCUGCAAACACUAGCAGGUGCGACGCGGCGUCUCCCGGUCUGUUUACAUACUCGAACGACACGACAGAUGCAACCUCGCCGCACGUGGCGUCGGCGGAGCACGUCGAAUAUGCCGUCCGUGGUGGAUCCGGGGUGCACACUGGCGAGCACGUCGACCAUCGGCAGCCGCGCCGCCACAAGCGCACGUGGAAGGAUGUCGAGCACAACGUCGCGCUCAGCGGUUUCUUUAAUACCCCCACAAAUAACAACAUGGCCAGCGUAGACACCGUGUCUCGGUCUCACUACAACGACGGAGAAGCGCCAGCCCCAUCCUUGAGCGCUCCUGGAGAACCGCUGGACAGCUCCUUGGGCGUCCACGAACCGAUUUGCCAUGAGUGAGCACGAAUGUUGCAAAGACACAAAUGUUCAACGGACGAGACAGAGACUAGAUGAACCCUAACUACGAGAUGUGCGAUCGUCAACUUCCCAGAGGCCGCCCUCUCGACGUCGCAAGCCUUCGUCCCCUUCUGCGUCACGGAUGCGGCGAUCCCGCGAGCGCCGGUAUUCAAUGCCGAGCAGUCACCGUUGUCUUUCAUGAGAGACUGGAAGGUAUUGCAUCUGUGACUUGCACAAGUCGGGUUGACGAGGUUGAAGAACCUCCUAGACACGCGGGAGAGAUCGCUAAUACGCGCGUGUCGACCUAAAUCGCCACGGUCGGCAUGACAGCGCGCCCGCGCAUGCGUAUUGCACUACAGAAGGAACGGAUGUGUGGGGAGAGACUGCAAAGUGCGGUCAAGCUGCGGAGGCGAUUGCGCAGUCGAGCCCAGUUGCAUGCAUCGAUGUCUCUCUCUCUCUCUCCGUUCGUCUCAGUUCGCGGCGUCCCUCUAUCCCUCGCCGUUGCCUUGGUGCCUGUUGGGUGCCCUCUUCUGGGUCUGUUGUCGUGUGGGGCCCUCUCUGCCUCGUGCUGCCAGCCACCUCAGUGCAUGAUACCACAGGGUCUGGUACGCACACGCCGUGUGUGGGGGAAAAGGGGGGGGGCCAAAGAGCCUGCAGCCUGCCGUCGGGUACGGCCGCGGCCUCGUGGUGUCGGCCGGACAGGUCUGGGCCGGCGCUUCACCGGGGAGACGCAGGUCACGAUCGCGUUUGUGCCCUCCCGCGACGGACCGUGUCAGCGAUUCGACACACGUGGGGCGAUGCGGUCCAUAGUCACCAGCCCCACAGUGCGUGCUUGCAAAGCAUGCGGCAUCUACGCCCGGCCGGGCGGACUGGUGAGGCGCAGACGCCGGAAGCGUGAGGGGAGCACCCCGAACCUGCACCAGCGAGCCGCUCAGACGCCCAUGCGCAUACACAUCACGCCACGGCAUACCGCGGCCUGAAGCGACUGAGAGCGAAGCGUGGCAUGCAAGCAGAGCGCGGGGUCUCGGAGGGCCCUGGCCUGCGGCUCGCCAACUGCCUCCCUGAGCUCGUGCGGCACGCGCCUGGGCCACCCCCUGCUGCCCGCGCGACAGACGUCACCGCCUCCGCACUGGAGCAGGGCUCUGGGCGCUGCUCGCCUGGAUCAGGGCGUGCAGUCCACCCAGGUCCGCGUGGUGCCGGUGGGACGGUACACAUGGGAAGAGGGGACGGGGGAAGGACAGGACGGGCUCGUCCUAGGCGGCCAGAAUGUAGCCGUGGUGCAAUAGAAGUAGAUGAGUGGUGGUGCUGUGUUGUGUGUGUGUGCGUGUGUAUACGUGCUUGGCCGGUCUGUGGGCGCAUGGCACGGCAAAGACAUAAAAUUUUCUUCUGCCACAUAGGGGGUGGACCCGUCUCUCGUCCUUUUUAAGCGGUUAUGUGUUUUGGGUGCGCGUGUUCGUUCGUAGUGACAGUCAUCAGCUCAAUACAUACGAUCUAGCCACACGCAUGAUGACAGGCAAGAUGUUGCGCACCACGGCGCCCCUCCUGUGCUGCCGCCCUGUCCUUUUCCUCGUUGGUGGAGGUUGCUCUUCUCGCGGCGGACGCAGCAGAUGAGGGCUUUCGUUGCUGUGGUGUCGUUCUUUUCCUUCCCUCGCGUGUUCGUUGUAUGAAGUAAGCCCGUUCGCAGCCCACGUUGAAGGGGCAGCACGAGGCACUCUGUUCUUCUCUGUUUUCACUUGCUCGUCUCGAUGGCGUACCUCUUAUGGUGUAUUCCUCUGCAUAUCUGCCUGUGUGUCUGUGUCUGCAUGUGUGUCCGCGUCUUCGUUGUGUAUGCAUGUAUGUGCGUAUGUGUGUGCUUUCCUAAUAUCAUUGCUCCACCUCCAUCGCCCUUCCUCUUCCCUCCUUCCCGUUCCAGCCCUACUCCUUUUCAUCCCGAGAAUAUACCAUGUUGAUACGCAUGUCAGGCGGAGAGGUUGUGAGCGGAACCGAGAUGCGAGGGGAACGAUGGGACAGAUGCGUGGGCAAGGGUGCCGAGGGGGGGGGGCUGAUGCAUAGCGCUGUGGUCCCGCCGCUUCACGUUUCGCCCCUACUCCGCCCCAGCGAUUAGUGACCUCCCCCCAUUUUUACUUUGUUUUAUUUUGUUCAUAUCUCUUUUCUCUAUCUGCAUCGCUGAUGACGCGUAUGUUACGCCGUCUGCAUGCUUUUCGUUUCUUUCCGUUAUUUCUUCUGUCCCUGCCUC
rnacentral:misc_RNA from 1 species